rnacentral:rRNA from 1 species
GGGUUGUGAGGUUAAGCGACUAAGCGUACACGGUGGAUGCCCUGGCAGUCAGAGGCGAUGAAGGACGUGCUAAUCUGCGAUAAGCGUCGGUAAGGUGAUAUGAACCGUUAUAACCGGCGAUUUCCGAAUGGGGAAACCCAGUGUGAUUCGUCACACUAUCAUUAACUGAAUCCAUAGGUUAAUGAGGCGAACCGGGGGAACUGAAACAUCUAAGUACCCCGAGGAAAAGAAAUCAACCGAGAUUCCCCCAGUAGCGGCGAGCGAACGGGGAGCAGCCCAGAGCCUGAAUCAGUGUGUGUGUUAGUGGAAGCGUCUGGAAAGGCGUGCGAUACAGGGUGACAGCCCCGUACACAAAAAUGCACAUACUGUGAGCUCGAUGAGUAGGGCGGGACACGUGGUAUCCUGUCUGAAUAUGGGGGGACCAUCCUCCAAGGCUAAAUACUCCUGACUGACCGAUAGUGAACCAGUACCGUGAGGGAAAGGCGAAAAGAACCCCGGCGAGGGGAGUGAAAAAGAACCUGAAACCGUGUACGUACAAGCAGUGGGAGCACGCUUAGGCGUGUGACUGCGUACCUUUUGUAUAAUGGGUCAGCGACUUAUAUUCUGUAGCAAGGUUAACCGAAUAGGGGAGCCGAAGGGAAACCGAGUCUUAACUGGGCGUUAAGUUGCAGGGUAUAGACCCGAAACCCGGUGAUCUAGCCAUGGGCAGGUUGAAGGUUGGGUAACACUAACUGGAGGACCGAACCGACUAAUGUUGAAAAAUUAGCGGAUGACUUGUGGCUGGGGGUGAAAGGCCAAUCAAACCGGGAGAUAGCUGGUUCUCCCCGAAAGCUAUUUAGGUAGCGCCUCGUGAAUUCAUCUCCGGGGGUAGAGCACUGUUUCGGCAAGGGGGUCAUCCCGACUUACCAACCCGAUGCAAACUGCGAAUACCGGAGAAUGUUAUCACGGGAGACACACGGCGGGUGCUAACGUCCGUCGUGAAGAGGGAAACAACCCAGACCGCCAGCUAAGGUCCCAAAGUCAUGGUUAAGUGGGAAACGAUGUGGGAAGGCCCAGACAGCCAGGAUGUUGGCUUAGAAGCAGCCAUCAUUUAAAGAAAGCGUAAUAGCUCACUGGUCGAGUCGGCCUGCGCGGAAGAUGUAACGGGGCUAAACCAUGCACCGAAGCUGCGGCAGCGACGCUUAUGCGUUGUUGGGUAGGGGAGCGUUCUGUAAGCCUGUGAAGGUGUACUGUGAGGUAUGCUGGAGGUAUCAGAAGUGCGAAUGCUGACAUAAGUAACGAUAAAGCGGGUGAAAAGCCCGCUCGCCGGAAGACCAAGGGUUCCUGUCCAACGUUAAUCGGGGCAGGGUGAGUCGACCCCUAAGGCGAGGCCGAAAGGCGUAGUCGAUGGGAAACAGGUUAAUAUUCCUGUACUUGGUGUUACUGCGAAGGGGGGACGGAGAAGGCUAUGUUGGCCGGGCGACGGUUGUCCCGGUUUAAGCGUGUAGGCUGGUUUUCCAGGCAAAUCCGGAAAAUCAAGGCCGAGGCGUGAUGACGAGGCACUACGGUGCUGAAGCAACAAAUGCCCUGCUUCCAGGAAAAGCCUCUAAGCAUCAGGUAACAUCAAAUCGUACCCCAAACCGACACAGGUGGUCAGGUAGAGAAUACCAAGGCGCUUGAGAGAACUCGGGUGAAGGAACUAGGCAAAAUGGUGCCGUAACUUCGGGAGAAGGCACGCUGAUACGUAGGUGAAGCGACUUGCUCGUGGAGCUGAAAUCAGUCGAAGAUACCAGCUGGCUGCAACUGUUUAUUAAAAACACAGCACUGUGCAAACACGAAAGUGGACGUAUACGGUGUGACGCCUGCCCGGUGCCGGAAGGUUAAUUGAUGGGGUUAGCGCAAGCGAAGCUCUUGAUCGAAGCCCCGGUAAACGGCGGCCGUAACUAUAACGGUCCUAAGGUAGCGAAAUUCCUUGUCGGGUAAGUUCCGACCUGCACGAAUGGCGUAAUGAUGGCCAGGCUGUCUCCACCCGAGACUCAGUGAAAUUGAACUCGCUGUGAAGAUGCAGUGUACCCGCGGCAAGACGGAAAGACCCCGUGAACCUUUACUAUAGCUUGACACUGAACAUUGAGCCUUGAUGUGUAGGAUAGGUGGGAGGCUUUGAAGUGUGGACGCCAGUCUGCAUGGAGCCGACCUUGAAAUACCACCCUUUAAUGUUUGAUGUUCUAAC